AAGUCGAGGGGUAGAAUGUCUUCGGAUGUUUGAGACCGGCGCACGGGUGCGUAACGCGUAUGCAACCUACCUCUUACUGGGGAAUAGCCCGGAGAAAUUCGGGAUUAAUCGCCCCAUAUGCUCGUACGACCUCAUGGUCGAGCGAGGAAAGCUCCGGCGGUAAGAGAUGGGCAUGCGUCCUAUUAGCUUGUUGGUGAGGUAACGGCUCACCAAGGCUACGAUAGGGUAGGGGCCUGAGGAGGGUCGACCCCCACACUGGUACUGAGACACGGACCAGACUCC
rnacentral:rRNA from 1 species